rnacentral:rRNA from 1 species
CAAAAACAUGUCUUUUUGAUUAUAAUUAAAAGUCUAUCCUGCCCAAUGAGGAGAUAAAUGGCCGCGGUAUUUUGACCGUGCAAAGGUAGCAUAAUCAUUAGUUUUUUAAUUGAAAGCUGGUAUGAAUGGUUGGACGAGAAAAUAACUGUCUCGGUUUAAAUUAAAUUAGAAUUUUAUUUAUGAGUAAAAAAGCUCAUAUGAGUUUAAAAGACGAGAAGACCCUAUAGAAUUUAAUAUAUGUAUGUAUAUAUUAUUUUUAGUAUUAAUAAUAAGUUAUAUAUAAUUAUAUUUUGUUGGGGUGAUGGAAAAAUUAAAUUAACUUUUUUUAUAUAAAAACAUUAAUGUAUGAAAAAAUGAUCCGUUAAUUACGAUUAUAAGAUUAAAUUACCUUAGGGAUAACAGCGUAAUUUUUUUUUAGAGUUCUUAUCGAAAAAAGAGUUUGCGACCUCGAUGUUGGAUUAAAAUUAACUUUUGGUGUAGGGGCU